rnacentral:rRNA from 1 species
UACGUAGGUCCCGAGCGUUGUCCGGAUUUAUUGGGCGUAAAGCGAGCGCAGGUGGUUUAAUAAGUCUGAUGUAAAAGGCAGUGGCUCAACCAUUGUGUGCAUUGGAAACUGUUAGACUUGAGUGCAGUAGAGGAGAGUGGAAUUCCAUGUGUAGCGGUGAAAUGCGUAGAGAUCAGGAGGAACACCAGUAGCGAAGGCGGCCAUCUGGCUGGUAACUGACGCUGAGGUGCGAGAGCGUGGGGAGCAAACAGG